rnacentral:lncRNA from 10 species
ACAUGUGUCCUGGAUGUGCAGCCGGGACUCCAGGAAUGGCUGGAGACGGGAGUGGGCGUCGGCCUCGAAGUCGUAGCGCACGAACACCCCGAAGAGAAUCACCAUAAUCACCUGCAGGAGCAGGCAGAGAAACACGGGGAUCAUUGGCCUCCCAGUGAGAUCAGAAGGAAUUCCCAGACCUAAGUCAUCAUCAUCAACAUCAUCAUCAUCUGCCAUCAUCAUCUGCAUCAUCAUCUGUCCUUUCUUUUUCUGAUUAUGAAAUUCAUACAGGGCACAUGAGAAACAAGGAAUGUUUGGGACACUGUCACACAACAGAGCGGCCUGGGGAGACAUCUGUGAUGUGCUACCCCAGACUUGACCCUGGAACAGAAAAAGGAUGUUAAUUGGAAAACUGGUAAAAUCCAAAUAAAGCCUGAAAAUUAGUUAAUAGUGACGUUCCCAUGUUGUUUUCUUAGUUGGGACAAAUGUCAUGGUUAUGUAAAAUGUUAACAGUAGGAUAAACUGAGUAAGGGCUAUAUGGGGACUGUCUUUGCCACUUUUCUGUAAAUCUAAAAUUAUUCCAAAAUACAAGGGUUUUAAGAAAAAAAACACGUAUAAAGGAUUGUAAGAACAAUUUAAGAGUUUUUCACAAGUUCAUUGGUCCAUAGUCAGGAACUGUCUUCUGGUUAAGAUCUGUGAUCUUGACAUGAGUUAACCAUAAUAUUUAGGUCUGGGAAUUCCUUCUGAUCUCACUGGGAGGCCAAUGAUCCCCAUGUUUCUCUGUUCAGCAGUAUAACAGUCUGUAUAUUGUCUGCUUAGUCUGUAUAUUGUCAAAAUAAAUUUGAUUUUCUAAUUUUUCUUUAAAAAUACAGAGAUAAUUGUAGAGAUUUGGAAAAUACAGAAAAACACAAAGAAGAAAGUAAAAAUCACUCAUAAUCCCACCACCCAGAGGCAAUACUAAUAUUUUGGUGUAUGUACUCUAGUCUUUUCCUAGCUCAUUGAAGAGGGGCUGGAGGGGAGCAGGGGGAGUGUUUCAAACGAUCAUACUAAUUUAUAGCGUUUUUAACUCCUUUCAUAUUUUGUAAACACCUUCCCAUAUUAUACUUCUACAACUUUUUUUCUUUUUCUUUUUCUUUUUUAUUUAUUUAUUUUUUUGAGAUAGGGUCUUGCUCUGAUGCCCAGGCUGGAGGGCAGUGGCUUGAUCAUGGUUCACUGCUGCCUUGACCUCCUGGGCUCAAGUGAUCCUCCCACUUCAGCCUCCCAAUUAGCUGAAACCACA